rnacentral:misc_RNA from 1 species
CUACCCUCAAGCGCGGCCUGUGUGUUGGACGCUGUCCCCCCGGGGACAGGCCUGAAGGCAGUGGCGGCGUCGCGUCCGGUCCUCGAGCGUAUGGGGCUUCGUCACUCGCUCUGUGGGGUCCGGCCGGGGCCUGCCUACCCAAUCUUUUCUCAA